UGAGGCUCACUGCCCCCUGGAUGGGCAGUGAGUCAGUGGAUUCCAGAGGCCAGGGUGCGGCCCAGCCCUGGCCCCUGCACCCUUGGGAUACCACACCUGCCCAGAGGGGAAUGGGACCCUCCUACGCUGACCCCACAGCAGACCAGUGCCCUCGGCCCCCUGUGUUGCCUGGAUCUGACUUCCCCUGACUGAAAAGACCUCCCAUUUUCUCCUGAGGACUGAGGCGUCUGCCCUGCACACUGGGGUGGUGGGUGGGAGCCACCCCGAGAAGCCAGCCAUCUUGAGCACAAACCCAGCUACGGAACGGACAUGGCGUGCACGUCCUUGGCAAGGCCCCAAGAAUUCCUGUGCCUCAGUUUCCUGAUCGGAAAAGCAUACGUACACACCGCGUAGCGAUAGGCAUAGUGAGACAAUAGCAGAAAUAAAUCACUCAGCGCAGUAGCGGCUGGAAAACAGGAGCUUUUCCCAUCUCGGCCCCUCUGAAAGGCUUCACCUUCCCUCCCGGAGACCCGCAGAGGAAAAUAAAAAGGCUGGAAGAGUAUGAGCAGGGAAUAAAGGCCCCAGAGCAGACCCCACCCCCCACCCAAGGGAAACACCCGCCUUUCUCUCUCAACCCCCCCCCCCCCCCCCCCCCCCCGGGGCCGGGAAGGGCUGCCCCCGCGGGCUUUAAUUGGGUUCUCC